GACGAACGCUGGCGGCGUGCUUAACACAUGCAAGUCGUACGGUAAGGCCCUUUCGGGGGUACACGAGUGGCGAACGGGUGAGUAACACGUGAGUAACCUGCCCACAACUUUGGGAUAACGCUAGGAAACUGGUGCUAAUACUGGAUAUGUGCUCCUGCUGCAUGGUGGGGGUUGGAAAGCUCCGGCGGUUGUGGAUGGACUCGCGGCCUAUCAGCUUGUUGGUGGGGUAGUGGCCUACCAAGGCGGCGACGGGUAGCCGGCCUGAGAGGGUGACCGGCCACAGUGGGACUGAGAUACGGCCCAGACUCCUACGGGAGGCAGCAGUGGGGAAUAUUGCACAAUGGGCGCAAGCCUGAUGCAGCAACGCCGCGUGCGGGAUGACGGCCUUCGGGUUGUAAACCGCUUUCAGCAGGGACGAAGCUUUUUGUGACGGUACCUGCAGAAGAAGCACCGGCUAACUACGUG
rnacentral:rRNA from 1 species